AUUGAACGCUGGCGGCAGGCCUAACACAUGCAAGUCGAACGGUAACAGGAAGAAGCUUGCUUCUUUGCUGACGAGUGGCGGACGGGUGGGUAAUGUCUGGGAAACUGCCUGAUGGAGGGGGAUAACUACUGGAAACGGUAGCUAAUACCGCAUAACGUCGCAAGACCAAAGAGGGGGACCUUCGGGCCUCUUGCCAUCGGAUGUGCCCAAAUGGGAUUAGCUAGUAGGUGGGGUAACGGCUCACCUAGGCGACGAUCCCUAGCUGGUCUGAGAGGAUGACCAGCCACACUGGAACUGAGACACGGUCCAGACUCCUACGGGAGGCAGCAGUGGGGAAUAUUGCACAAUGGGCGCAAGCCUGAUGCAGCCAUGCCGCGUGUAUGAAGAAGGCCUUCGGGUUGUAAAGUACUUUCAGCGGGGAGGAAGGGAGUAAAGUUAAUACCUUUGCUCAUUGACGUUACCCGCAGAAGAAGCACCGGCUAACUCCGUG
rnacentral:rRNA from 1 species